AUUUAAAUAGCUUAAAUAGAGUUUAAUAUUGAAGAUAUUAAGGUGAUUAUAUAAUCUUUAAAUA
rnacentral:tRNA from 1 species